rnacentral:rRNA from 1 species
UACGGGGGGGGGCUAGCGUUAUUCGGAAUCAUUGGGCGUAAAGGGCGCGUAGGCGGCGCGGUAAGUCAAAGGUGAAAUCCCUCGGCUCAACUGAGGAACUGCCUUUGAAACUGCCGUGCUUGAGUCCGGGAGGGGGUAGCGGAAUUCCCAGUGUAGCGGUGAAAUGCGCAGAUAUCAGGAGGAACACCAGCGGCGAAGGCGGCGCUCUGGGCCGGUACUGACGCUGAGGAGCGAAAGCGUGGGUAGCAAACAGG